rnacentral:rRNA from 1 species
GAUGAACGCUGACAGCAUGCUUAACACAUGCAAGUCAACUUGAAAUUGGGUUUUUAACUUAGUCUUGGGUUGCGGACGGGUGAGUAACGCGUAAAGAACUUGCCUCCCAGCUAGGGACAACAUUUGUAAACAAAUGCUAAUACCUACUAUUAUGAUAAUAGGGCAUCCUAUAAUUAUGAAAGCAAUAAGCGCUGUGGUCACGCUUUGCGUCCCAUGAGCUAGUUGGAGAGGUAGCGGCUCACCAAGGCGAUGAUGGCUAGCCGGACUGGGAGGGAGAUCCGCCACAAGGUGACUGGGGCACCGCCCUUACUGCAUCGGGAGCCAGCAGUGGAGAAUAGUGGACAAAGGACCAAGAGACUGAUCCAGCAAUUCUGUGUGCACGACGAAGUUUUUCGGAAUGAAAAGUGCUUUAAGUUGGGAAGAAAGAAAUGACGGUACCAACAGAAGAAGUGACGGCUAAAUACGUG